rnacentral:tRNA from 1 species
GCCGGUGUGGCAUAGUGGUUUGAGUGUUGGAUUAUGAGUCUGAAGACCAGGGUUCGAUUUCUGGCUUGGCCA